GCAAGGUUUAGUUUAGGGAUUGAGAGCCCUCAGUGACUAUAACACCUAGCCCAUAUUCAAAUUGUAGCACUUGAUUGCUGCCACUGAUUCUUCAAAAUGCCUAUCUUGUAUAGUUGUAUGUAAUGCUUGACAGCCAAAUGGAAUGAUUUAAACAAAUGCCAAAGGUGAGACAUGCUGGAUAAGCUUGAUAUGAAUGUGUAGACGUAGUUUUGGAAUGCAGCGGUGAAGCCGGCUGUUGGGAUUGCGCCAUCCAGGCAAUGUGGAUAUUCUGCCAUGUACAUAAUAAACCGAGGAUUCUUCGUCAACAUGCAAGAUGUUACUCCCUGUAAACUACUGUUGGCAGAAAAGCUGAUACAUUGGGAAAACGGUUAUGGCAAGUGCGAUGAAUACAUCACCAUAGGGUCAGUUGUCUUGCCUUCACAAUUGCAACAAAGAUGAAUCAUGGAGUCAGAAACAU